AAGUCUAAUAUCAAGAGUGGAUACUGGAUAAUUAUUGCUAAUAUUUAUGGUCUAAUCAUAGAUAUUGUCUAAUCAUAAUGUUUAAUAUACUUUAAUCUACUGAUCUUUCUCCUUUCUCUUUAGCUGGGAAGAUAGUCUUUGAACUAUUAAUGAUGCACCAAGGACCUGUAAGAAUUUCUGCUGCCUUUGUACAGGAGAAGGUAAAACAACAUUUAAGCCUCUAUACUACAAAGGGACAGUUAUACAUUAAUAUUAUUAAAUGGAUAUAAUAUCAUACACUCAGAUUGUCUGUGAGCAUUUUGAAGGCAUUCUGAAAGUAACCUCAAUUUUAAAGUUCCUCGUUAAAAGGUCUAAUGCAACAUGUCACAGUAAAUCAUCAGUUCUAAUUUAUGUACAACAGCUGCCUCAAUCAGAAGAGCUAGCAGCUGUGUACUGAUCAUACAGCACAUUUCAAAAUACAGUCUACACUAUCAGAUGAAAAUACACCUGACAGUACCAGCAAUAAAGAAAUAAUCUUAUUAAUGAUGUCUGGUUGUAUGUUAGUCAAAUAAUGAAGGUACUAGGAUCUGAACUAGCUAAAGAGAAGGGGAUACAGAGUUUAUUGAACAAGUUAAAAUGUAUAUGAUAUGGAGCUAGUAUCACCUGAUUGACAUAAUGAUAGGUUUGUAUGCCACUUAAGUGUUUUUGUAUGGGGGACAUUGUGUCUGUUAAUUCAUUUAUUAUUAUUAUUAUC